UCAUGCUUCCCGGCACAAGGUGCACCUGUGUAAUGAUCGUGCUGUUUAACCAGCUUAUUGAUACGCCACACCUGUCAGGUGGAUGGAUUAUCUUGGCAAAUGAGAAAUUCUCACUAACAGGGAUGCAAACAAAUUUGUGCAAAAAAAAAAAAAAAAAAAAAAAGAAAUCUUUGUGUACGGAAUAUUUCUGGGAUCUUUUAUUUCAGCUCAUGAAACACUUUACAUGUUGCGUUUAUAUUUUUUGUUUAGUUUCUCACCCCCCCCCCCCUAAUGAUUCACCCUUCAUGGGGUGGCAGGUUGGUUCGAGCGUUGGACUUGUAACUGAAAGGUUGCAAGUUCGAAUCCCCGAGCUGACAAGGUAAAAAUCUGUCGUUCUGCCCCUGAACAAGGCAGUUAGCCUACCGGGGAACGGUGAGUUGUCAUUGUAAAUAAGAAUUUGUUCUUAAAUUUAACUGACUUGCCUAAAUAAAUGAUGUUAAAAUGUUGUUGUUUUUUUAAAACAUGGGCUUUGGAAUGGGCCUACCACUGACUUAUGUACGUUGUAGAAGCCCAUUAGACCAUAGCCUUGCCACGUGAUUACCCCAGCGUUGCAAUAACACUAAUCUGUGACACGCGUGUGCGUGUGUGGCCUGUUAAAGCGAUUGGAAUCACGAGACUUCACCUCUGUCUAUUCAUUUCUGCCAGGCUCCCUCAGUCUUCUGCAGCACUGGGUGUAUUGUUGGUGAACAUGGUUCUCUCUGCUCCAUAUCCAUUAGUUUAGUGUUCUAGAUAUCGGGUUCCCUCUGCUCCAUAUCCAUUAGUUUAGUGUUCUAGAUAUCGGGUUCUCUGCUCCAUAUCCAUUAGUUUCUUGUUCUAGAUAUCGGGUUCUCGGCUCCAUAUCCAUUAGUUUCGUGUUCUAGAUAUCGGGUUCUCUCUGCUCCAUAUCCAUUAGUUUAGUGUUCUAGAUAUCGGGUUCCCUCUGCUCCAUAUCCAUUAGUUUAGUGUUCUAGAUAUCGGGUUCCCUCUGCUCCAUAUCCAUUAGUUUCGUGUUCUAGAUAUCGGGUUCUCUCUGCUCCAUAUCCAUUAGUUUCGUGUUCUAGAUAUCGGGUUCCCUCUGCUCCAUAUCCAUUAGUUUAGUGUUCUAGAUAUCGGGUUCCCUCUGCUCCAUAUCCAUUAGUUUAGUGUUCUAGAUAUCGGGUUCUCUGCUCCAUAUCCAUUAGUUUCUUGUUCUAGAUAUCGGGUUCCCUCUGCUCCAUAUCCAUUAGUUUCGUGUUCUAGAUAUCGGGUUCUCUCUGCUCCAUAUCCAUUAGUUUCGUGUUCUAGAUAUCGGGUUCUCUCUGCUCCAUAUCCAUUAGUUUAGUGUUCUAGAUAUCGGGUUCCCUCUGCUCCAUAUCCAUUAGUUUCGUGUUCUAGAUAUCGGGUUCCCUCUGCUCCAUAUCCAUUAGUUUAGUGUUCUAGAUAUCGGGUUCCCUCUGCUCCAUAUCCAUUAGUUUAGUGUUCUAGAUAUCGGGUUCCCUCUGCUCCAUAUCCAUUAGUUUAGUGUUCUAGAUAUCGGGUUCCCUCUGCUCCAUAUCCAUUAGUUUAGUGUUCUAGAUAUCGGGUUCCCUCUGCUCCAUAUCCAUUAGUUUCGUGUUCUAGAUAUCGGGUUCUCUCUGCUCCAUAUCCAUUAGUUUCUUGUUCUAGAUAUCGGGUUCCCUCUGCUCCAUAUCCAUUAGUUUCUUGUUCUAGAUAUCGUGUUCCCUCGGCUCCAUAUCCAUGAGUUUCGUGUAAAACUACAACAGCAUGUCAUCAUUGAAACUACAACAGCAUGUCAUCAUUAAAACUACAACAGCAUGUCAUCAUUAAAACUACAACAGCAUGUCAUCAUUAAAACUACAACAGCAUGUCAUCAAAACUACAACAGCAUGUCAUCAUUAAAACUACAACAGCGUGUCAUCAUUAAAACUACAACAGCGUGUCAUCAUUAAAACUACAACAGCGUGUCAUCAUUAAAACUACAACAGCGUGUCAUCAUUAAAACUACAACAGCGUGUCAUCAUUAAAACUACAACAGCGUGUCAUCAUUAAAACUACAACAGCGUGUCAUCAUUAAAACUACAACAGCGUGUCAUCAUUAAAACUACAACAGCGUGUCAUCAUUAAAACUACAACAGC